UACGUAGGGUGCGAGCGUUAAUCGGAAUUACUGGGCGUAAAGCGUACGUAGGUGGUUUGUUAAGCCAGCUGUGAAAUCCCCGGGCUCAACCUGGGCACUGCAGUUGGAACUGGCAAGCUAGAGUAGGGUAGAGGGUGGUGGAAUUCCGGUGUAGCAGUGAAAUGCGUAGAGAUCGGGAGGAACACUCGUGGCGAAGGCGGCCACCUGGACCAGUACUGACGCUGAGGCACGAAAGCGUGGGGGAGCAAACAGG
rnacentral:rRNA from 1 species